rnacentral:lncRNA from 1 species
AAACAACAAAAAUCCCACCCUGGGAAGUUUACAUCUUUUUUUUUUUUUGGUACAGGGGAUCGAACUCAGGUCCUUGAGCCUGCGCAGCAGGCAGCGAAACCACUGAGCUAAAUCCCCGGCCUGGAAGUUUACAUCUUAACAGAAAAGAUCCCAUCUGGUGUCAUCUGUCAGCCCUUUUGGUAGUUUCGCAUCUUCUCUACAGGUACUACUCCUUCUCUGAAGACACAGUAACCCAUGCUGUCUUAUCAAAAUUGAAAACACAACCGCCUGCCUCGCAAGCACAAGGACCCGAGUCCGAUCCCCGGUACCAAAAAAAAAGAAAGAAAAAAUAAUAAUAAGGAUCAAAAUGUACAUUUUGGGUCAGGGAUUUGGCUAAGUGGUUCCACUGCCUGCCUCACAAGCAGAAGGACCCAAGUUCGAUCCCCAGUUCCAAAAGAAAAAAAGAAAAAAGAAAAAUUGAAAACACAAACCAAAUGCGUGUAGGGGAUAAUUCAUAGCCACCAGCAAGUCUCAGCUUUACUUCAGCAGUGUAUAAAAGAAAGGGCUGGGCUGUAGUUCAGCUGUAGGGAGGUUGGCUAGACUUCGAAAGAUCCUGGGCUUGGGCAGCCAG